CCGGGAUAGCUCCGCUGGUAGAGCAGAGGACU
rnacentral:tRNA from 1 species